rnacentral:rRNA from 1 species
ACCGGCGCACGGGUGAGUAACACGUAUCCAACCUGCCUUCAACUCAGGGAUAGCCUUUCGAAAGAAAGAUUAAUACCUGAUGGUUGAGGAUGGGGAUGCGUUCCAUUAGGCAGUUGGCGGGGUAACGGCCCACCAAACCUACCAUGGAUAGGGGUUCUGAGAGGAAGGUCCCCCACAUUGGAACUGAGACACGGUCCAAACUCUACGGGAGGCAGCAGUGAGGAAUAUUGGUCAAUGGACGAGAGUCUGAACCAGCCAAGUAGCGUGAAGGAUGACUGCCUAUGGGUUGUAAACUUCUUUUAUAAGGGAAUAUGUACCUUAUGAAUAAGGAUCGGCUAACUCCGUGCCAGCAGCCGCGGUAAUACGGAGGAUCCGAGCGUUAUCCGGAUUUAUUGGGUUUAAAGGGAGCGUAGGCGGGCGUUUAAGUCAGUUGUGAAAGUUUGCGGCUCAACCAUAAAAUCGCAGUUGAUACUGGAUGCCUUGAGUGCGGCAGAGGCAGGCGGAAUUCGUGGUGUAGCGGUGAAAUGCUUAGAUAUCACGAAGAACUCCGAUUGCGAAGGCAGCUUGCUGGACCGUAACUGACGCUGAUGCUCGAAAGUGCGGGUAUCAAACAGGAUUAGAUACCCUGGUAGUCCGCACAGCAAACGAU